AGCUCAGGGCCCUCUGGGUUCACGAGGGCGGGGUGCCUCCUACUGUGCCUGCGGCUGUGGGCGAGGCGAGGCGAGGCGGGCCCGACCUCCCGCCGACUUUUCAUAUACCUGUCCCGGCCGCGGGCCCAGCGCCGGUGCCCGCUCCUCCCGCGCCCGAGGUCAAGGCGUCCCCGGCUCAGCUCUCCUAGCCCCGUCCCCGCCCCGUGGGAAGCGUAGGUCCAAGCAGCGGCGGUCAGGUGAAGAGUGGAGGGGCACCCCUUUCUGAGGAUUGCACUCCCCUCUCUUGUAGAGUGUCUUUCCGUUCCUCAAGCGGAGACUUGCUAGCCAGGUGCAUCUACGAUUGCCAGGCCUGGAGACUGUAGAAGAGAUUAGUACCGCGUUCCAUUUUAAGAGGAUCCUGCGGAACAUAUAGCCAAGAAUGCCAGGGGGACUUUCCUGGCCCAGACGUAGUAAAUAGUAAUGGUGACAGUAAUCUCUCAUCUUUGCAAGAUUGCAAAACUGUUUAAAUUCCUCGUCAUGUCAUUCGAUUCAUAUUAUCAUCUGGUCAGAUGAUAAUUUUCAUUCGAUAAGUGAGGAAACUGCUAGAAAGUAGGUGAAAGUUUGUGCUCUCCUGAGUGUCCCCGAAGUGCUGUGGCCUGAACAUCUGCCCCGCUUACCCUUUUUUUUUUUUCUUAUGUCAGCCUGUCUUCUGUGAACCAGAAUGUGAUCCUUGAGCUGACCUUUGUAUCUGUGAAAGUACCAGUAUGGAGUAUUUUGAGCUCAGUUAGUUGCUUUUCAAUUACUACCUGGGAGGAUAAAGAGACUCAGCGGUUUGACCUUGACUCUUCUGUUAUGGACCAUCUAGAAAAUUGACUGUGCUUGCCAGAUGGUUUUCUUCACUCCUAACUUGACAACAGUAGGAAGGUGUUACAUGCAAGGUUUCAAUGUCAAGCAUGUAUUUUGUUAAUAAAAAUAAAGCAAGCCAAUAAAGUAGACAUUCUCUGACAACCUUUUACAUUUAA